UGCAUAUCAAUAAGCGUGAGGAAAAGAAACUAACAAGGAUUCCCCUAGUAACUGCGAGUGAAGCGGGAAGAGCUCAAAUUUAAAAUCUGGCGUGCCUCYGGUCGUCCGAGUUGUAGUCUGGAGAAGCGUUUUCCGUGUUGGACCGUGUAUAAGUCUCUUGGAACAGGGCGUCAUAGAGGGUGAGAAUCCCGUCUUUGACACGGACUACCAAUGCUUUGUGAUGCGCUCUCAAAGAGUCGAGUUGUUUGGGAAUGCAGCUCAAAAUGGGUGGUAAAUUCCAUCUAAAGCUAAAUAUAGGCGAGAGACCGAUAGCGAACAAGUACCGUGAGGGAAAGAUGAAAAGCACUUUGGAAAGAGAGUUAAACAGUACGUGAAAUUGCUGAAAGGGAAACGCUUGAAGUCAGUCACGUCUGCCAGGACUCAGCCUCGCUCCUGCUUGGUGUAUUUUCUGGUUUGAUGGGCCAACAUCAAUUUUGACCGUUGGAGAAAGGCUUUGGGAAUGUGGCACCUUCGGGUGUGUUAUASCCCUUUGUUGUAUACAACGGUUGGGAUUGAGGACCGCAGCACGCCUUCAUGGCCGGGGUUCGCCCACGUACGUGCUUAGGAUGUUGGCAUAAUGGCUUUAAGCGACCCAGUCUUGAAACACGGACCA
rnacentral:rRNA from 1 species